GAUGAAGAACGUAGCGAAAUGCGAUAAGUAAUGUGAAUUGCAGAAUUCAGUGAAUCAUCGAAUCUUUGAACGCACCUUGCGCUCUUUGGUAUUCCGAAGAGCAUGCCUGUUUGAGUGUCAUGAAAAUAUCAACCUUGACUUGGGUUUUGUGCUCUAGUCUCGGCUUGGAAUUGGGUGCUUGCCGCUUUUACGAGCGGCUCACCUUAAAUGUAUUAGCUGGAUCUGUCUUUGAGACUUGGUUUGACUUGGCGUAAUAAGUAUUUCGCUAAGGACAUUCUUCGGAGUGGCCUCGUUUCUAGGACGCUUGUCCGCUUUCCAACACAAGUUCCACCUCGUGGACAUGACUUUUUAUUAUCUGGCCUCAAAUCAGGUAGGACUACCCGCUGAACUUAAGCAUAUCAAUAAGCGGAGGA
rnacentral:misc_RNA from 1 species